rnacentral:rRNA from 1 species
UGAGCAAUCUGCCCUUCUCAUCGGAAUAAGCGUUGGAAACGACGUCUAAUGCCGAAUACGACCUCCUUUCGCAUGAUCGGAGGUGGAAAGCUCCGGCGGAGAAGGAUGAGCUCGCGGCCUAUCAGCUAGUUGGUGUGGUAAUGGCCCACCAAGGCGACGACGGGUAGCCGGCCUGGAGGAGGGUGACCCGGCCACACGUGGGACUGAGACACGGCCCAGACCUCCGUACGGGAGCAG